rnacentral:rRNA from 1 species
GAUGAACGCUAGCAGCAGGCCUAAUACAUGCAAGUCGAGGGGUAGAAGAGGCUUGCUUCUUUGAGACCGGCGCACGGGUGCGUAACGCGUAUGCAACCUACCUUCAUCUGGGGGAUAGCCCGGAGAAAUCCGGAUUAAUACCGCAUAAAAUCACAGGAUGGCAUUAUCCAAUGAUCAAACAUAUAAGGGAUGGAGAUGGGCAUGCGUGUCAUUAGCUAGUUGGCGGGGUAACGGCCCACCAAGGCGACGAUGACUAGGGGAUCUGAGAGGAUGGCCCCCCACACUGGUACUGAGACACGGACCAGACUCCUACGGGAGGCAGCAGUAAGGAAUAUUGGUCAAUGGAGGCAACUCUGAACCAGCCAUGCCGCGUGCAGGAAGACUGCCCUAUGGGUUGUAAACUGCUUUUAUUCGGGAAUAAACCUUAUUACGUGUAAUAAGCUGAAUGUACCGAAGGAAUAAGGAUCGGCUAACUCCGUGCCAGCAGCCGCGGUAA